UUACUGGGGCAAGGUGAGAGUAGAUACAACACAACAUUACUGGGGCUAGGUGAGAGUAGAUACAACACAACAUUACUGGGGCUAGGUGAGAGUAGAUACAACACAACAUUACUGGGGCUAGGUGAGAGUAGAUACAACACAACAUUACUGGAGCAAGGUGAGAGUAGAUACAACACAACAUUACUGGGGCAAGGUGAGAGUAGAUACAACACAACAUUACUGGGGCUAGGUGAGAGUAGAUACAACACAACAUUACUGGGGCUAGGUGAGAGUAGAUACAACACAACAUUACUGGAGCAAGGUGAGAGUAGAUACAACACAACAUUACUGGGGCUAGGUGAGAGUAGAUACAACACAACAUUACUGGGGCUAGGUGAGAGUAGAUACAACACAACAUUACUGGGGCUAGGUGAGAGUAGAUACAACACAACAUUACUGGGGCUAGGUGAGAGUAGAUACAACACAACAUUACUGGGGCAAGGUGAGAGUAGAUACAACACAACAUUACUGGGGCAAGGUGAGAGUAGAUACAACACAACAUUACUGGGGCUAGGUGAGAGUAGGCAUCAUAGGUUCUGUACUCACUUUUACAGUAGCUCAGUAAUCAUACCGCCUACACUCUUAGAAAAAAGGGUUCCAAAAGGGUUCUUCGGCUGUCCCAUAGGAUAACUCUUUCUUGUUCCAGGUAGAACUCUUUGGGUUCUUCUGGGGAAAGGGUUCUACAUGGAACCCAGUAGGGUUCUACCUGGAAUCAAAAGGGUUCUUUCUGGAACCAAAAAGGGUUAUUCAAAGUGUUCUAUUGGGACAGCCGAAGAACCCUUUUACGUUCUAGAUUUUUUUCUAAGAGUGUAGUUCCUGUUUUUGCAAUGUGCAGUCUGAAACCUUUUGUGAAAUGUUAUAUAAACCUAGCCUGCAUAGGUAUUUGCCAAAACAGAGUUAAGGGCACAUUUGCUAUGCAUUUGGAUCUGGUGAAAAGUUUGCACCUGUUUUUAUUGGAUGAAACACCAAAGCUAAAACAGCAAACUGUCUUCAUUUAUACUUGAUAAAUGGUUCACUUUCAGAACCUUUAUUCUUACCUUUUCAUUUAACCUUUUAUGUCCAAUUCCCUAUGGUAAACUUACUGUGCAAUCUUGAUACCUGAUGCAAAGUGCAAAUGUUGAAUAAAUGGGGUCCUUAGCGGUCAGAAGAAGGGAGGCUUGUAAAAUAGGUGUGGUGUCAAAUUUGAUGUACAUCCUGCCAUUGAGAUUUGGACUGGCAGAGCUUGUCUCAGACAUUUUAUAAAAGCCCUGAAUAUUCUUUUAACACUUGGAAAGUAGUUAUUCAAGACAAAUAACUUCUCAAGAAAAUUAUAUUUUCAUGAACUACAUAAACACAACCCACCUCAUACACGAUUACUUCAACUACAUAAACACAACCCACCUCAUACACGAUUACUUCAACUACAUAAACACAACCCACCUCAUACACGAUUACUUCAACUACAUAACACAACCCAUCUCAUACACGAUUACUUCAACUACAUAAACACAACCCACCUCAUACACGAUUACUUCAACUACAUAAACACAACCCACCUCAUACACGAUUACUUCAACUACAUAACACAACCCACCUCAUACACGAUUACUUCAACUACAUAAACACAACCCACCUCAUACACGAUUACUUCAACUACAUAACACAACCCACCUCAUACACGAUUACUUCAACUACAUAAACACAACCCACCUCAUACACGAUUACUUCAACUACAUAACACAACCCACCUCAUACACGAUUACUUCAACUACAUAACCCAACCCACCUCAUACACGAUUACUUCAACUACAUAAACACAACCCACCUCAUACACGAUUACUUCAACUACAUAACACAACCCACCUCAUACACGAUUACUUCAACUACAUAAACACAACCCACCUCAUACACGAUUACUUCAACUACAUAAACACAACCCACCUCAUACACGAUUACUUCAACUACAUAAACACAACCCACCUCAUACACGAUUACUUCAACUACAUAAACACAACCCACCUCAUACACGAUUACUUCAACUACAUAACACAACCCACCUCAUACACGAUUACUUCAACUGCAUAAACACAACCCACCUCAUACACGAUUACUUCAACUACAUAAACACAACCCACCUCAUACACGAUUACUUCAACUACAUAAACACAACCCACCUCAUACACGAUUACUUCAACUACAUAACCCAACCCACCUCAUACACGAUUACUUCAACUACAUAACACAACCCACCUCAUACACGAUUACUUCAAAUGUCAUCAUGGUUUGAUUGGCAAGGAGGACUACAGAGGAAACCAAUCUGUAUCCAUUCAAAAUGUGGAUUACAAAAAGUUGCAGGCACUUCCGACAUCCCCUAAGACUUACUUACUUUUGUAACAUCCUUAAACGUAUCAUUAAAAAGUUUGAUCGGCGGUUGUAAGUAUUCAAGUAAAUAUCCUUGGGAAAGUGAUGAUGAUCAAUGUGGAAUGUAAAAAAAACAAAUUUAAGUACAAAAAGUACAAUCAACCUUCAUUUGCAUGAGAAAAGUGAAAGUGGAAAAAAUUGCACUUAGCUAAAUCUCAGCAGAACACUUGCAUAAAUAUGCUGCAUAAUCAGCCAGAAUAAGAAAACACCUGUCGUCCUUCCAAGCUACUACUUUCCAUCACCAUUAACCAAUACAUUUUCCCUACUUCUCCUUCAUAUUUAACAAUCACCAGCUGUUUCUCUUGGCAGUAUUCUCAGAAUGUUUUGAGUCUUUCAUACGCUUGGCCUGCCUGAGGAACUGGUCUGCUUUCCUCAGCUUCUCCAUGGCUCUGGCUAGCAGCUCCUCCGGCGACCUGUCCUCCAGGCCAUCGCCCCCCGCUAGGGCCGAGUUCUGCCCAACCUCGGUGCUCCCUUUAGGGACAACGCUCCCCAGGAGCUCCCCUGUAUUUUCCAGCUCCAUGGCCAGUUCAUUUUCAAGGUCUGUUAAGUCUUGAGGACCCACGGUGGCCUUUGUCCCGGCCACGUCUGUGAUUCGCUGUUUCACGUUUUCACCCAAUGAGGCCUCAGAGAGGAGAUCCCCCAAAGAGGUGGACAUGAGCUUGGCUAAGGGUUUGAAGGGGAUGGGGGGACAAUGGGAGGCCUGACUGACCCUCACCUGGAGGAAGGUGGAGUGUAGGCCAGAGGGAUUGUCCUGGGGGGUCUGGGUCGUAGAAGGGGAGUCCUCCACAGUGCUGAGUCCCAAGCUGUCGGGGGUCUCCGUGUCUCCGUCUUGACUCUCGUCCAUCAGCGCGUCCAGGCCAGCUUGGCUGCCCAUUAGGGCAGCGGUGGAGGCCGCCAAAGUGUCCCUGCUCUCUGACCAUUCUUCGUCGACAUCGAUGUCCGAGUGUUGGCCACUGUCGACUGACUUUUCCUCCUCACGCUCACUCUUCUUUUCCGGGGAGAGGUGGCAGGACACGGGGCUGGAGCAGGAGCUGUCUGGCUCAGGGUCACUCAGAGAGAGAACUACGACUGGGAACUCAGACUUAGUCUCAACGACCACAGGAACUUUCAGGGCCUCUGUUUCUUCAGUCGGACUGGUUGUGGUCAGCGCGGCUGGUGUUGGUGAAGUGAUAGAGUUGAGUUUCUCUCCUGGUGUGGUGGUGAUGUUCUUGGUUUUGUCUGUCGCUUGGUUCUUAGGUUCGCUUACGUGGACGUCUUGAGCCACCACCACUGCUUUGGGAGGAGGGAGGACGACGGGCUUCUUCUUUGUGGGAGGUCCGGGAGGGCCAGGGCUCUUUUUGAUUGGCUCCGGUGUCUGAACUGACGGCGUUACUGUGAGUUGGGAAGACUUCAUUGUCUGAGGUUCUUCAUUGGGUGAUAUAUCCACUCCACCACUAGGGGCAGACUCUUGUUCUUGAGCCAUGGGCUCGGCAACUUUCUGCGUCUCUUCUUCUAUGGUGGUGGUGGCGACCUCUGGGUGGUCAGUCACAGAGGGUUCAACUUUGACCUCUAGGGGGGUCAUGGGUGUUGUAAGCUGCGAGGAAGAAGACUCCUCCUCAUCCUCAGCCCCCUCAGGGAUACUGCUUUGUUGAACGUCAGAUGCAAUCGUUUCAGAACCCUCUUCCUCCUUCUCCUCUACCUCAUCCUCUUCACCUUUCUCCCUCCUCCCACUAGCCUCCUCUGUACCCUCCUGCACGGCUGUCUGAGUGGGCUUUUUGUCUUUGGAUGGUGGGGUGGGCGGCCUGUGUUCCUGGCUGGUUUGGGAG
rnacentral:lncRNA from 1 species